ACUGUGCGUGCGUUUUUAACACUACAUACUCGUUUAAUAUACAUAUGUAUGUACAUACUACAUACAUACAUAUAUGUACUUUUUUUUCGUGUAAAUGUGGCGACGAAUUUCGUUUUGUUGUUGUUUGCGAAUUUCUUUGUCAAAGUGAACGGACGAUAUGUUCGUGUGCGUUCGUAUGUGUGCGUGUGUGUGAGCGUGCAAUGUGAAGCAAGAAGCAGCAGCAACAACAACAACAGCAAUCAGUUGUCAUAACUGACAACAACAACGACAACAACUCUAUCUACAACGCAAAGGAGUCAUGUGAAAUUAAUCCCGUUGCCUAAAAACACGCACAUGUUCGGGAGAGCCAGAGGAGGAGAAUACUACUUGUCUACAUAUAUUGUCGGAGGGAAACAUAUCUGCUGCAUUCGAGCGGUAUUGUAUUUACGACGCCAAUUGCCUUGAGAAGGCGUGCGCAUACCAAAGAGCUUAGAAGAAUCUAGACAGCAGCAGAGUUGGGCGAAUCGAUUGGUUUAGUGGAGCGGUGGACGAAGCACGCGAUGGCAGCAAAUGCCGCCGAACACAGAGCCGGGCGCAGG